GGUUUGGUCCUGGCCUUUUUAUUGUUUUGUAGCAAGUUUACACAUGCAAGCAUCCCCACACCGGUGAGAAUGCCCUUAACAUCAAUAUAGAUCAAGAGGAGCGGGCAUUAAGCACACUAAUCAUGUAGCUCAAGAUGCCUUGCUUAACCACACCCCCAAGGGAAACAGCAGUGAUAGAAAUUUAGCAAUAAACGCAAGUUUGACUAAGUUAUGCUACUCUAGGGUUGGUAAAUUUCGUGCCAGCCACCGCGGUCAUACGAUUAACCCAAACUAAUAAAUUCCCGGCGUAAAGCGUGAUUAGAAACGAACAAAAAAAAUAAAAUCAAAUAGCAACUAAGCUGUAAAAAGUAAUAGUUAUAAACAAAAAUAAACAACGAAAGUGAUUUUACAACCUUCGAACUCACGAUAGCUAAGAUCCAAACUGGGAUUAGAUACCCCACUAUGCUUAGCCCUAAACUUAAAUGAUCCCAUAACAAAAUUAUUCGCCAGAGAACUACAAGCCAGAGCUUAAAACUCAAAGGACUUGGCGGUGCUUUAUACCCGCCUAGAGGAGCCUGUUCUAUAAUCGAUAAACCCCGAUAAACCUUACCACUCUUUGCCAACUCAGCCUAUAUACCGCCAUCUUCAGCGAACCCUAAAAAGGAACAAAAGUAAGCUUAAUUAUCCCCAUAAAAACGUUAGGUCAAGGUGUAGCCUAUAGAGUGGAAAGUAAUGGGCUACAUUUUCUUUUUCAGAACAUACGGAAGCCCUUAUGAAAUUCUAAGGGCCAAAGGAGGAUUUAGUAGUAAAUUAAGAAUAGAGUGCUUAAUUGAACCAGGCCAUGAAGCACGCACACACCGCCCGUCGCCCUCCUCAAGUAUUAGAUUCUUCCUAUCCAUAAUUACAAAAUAAAUUAAUAUAAGAGGAGAUAAGUCGUAACAAGGUAAGCAUACUGGAAAGUGUGCUUGGAUAUUUCAGAGUGUAGCUUAACUUAAAGCACUUGGCUUACACCCAAAAGAUUUCAUCUAUUGACCGCUCUGAGCCAAUCCUAGCCCUACAUAAAUCAAACUUUAACCAGAACAAUUCACUAAACUAAAUCAUUCACCCUACAUUUAAAGUAUAGGAGAUAG
rnacentral:ncRNA from 1 species